rnacentral:tRNA from 1 species
AGAAUUUUAGGUUAAAUUAAAACUUUGAGUUUUCAAGACUUAUAAUAAAUAAAUUAUUUAAAUUCUG